rnacentral:rRNA from 1 species
AUGGACUACCAGCCCCUCGUCUCCGCCCUCGACGCCCGCGUCACACCGGUCUCCCUCGACGAGCUGUACGCCAUGCUGAGCAGUUUUGAUCAGCGUGUCGCCCAGUUUCAUAGCACCGGCGGUGGCUUCAAGUCCUCGGCCAACACGGCCACUCGCGGGCGCAGCGGGUUCUCUCCUUGGCAUCGCGGUCCCCCUUGA